rnacentral:lncRNA from 1 species
GCUCAUGGUUUUUGCUUCUUUCUUCUAGGGUUUAUCUUGUUUUGAACAUGCUCUCAUGGUGCUUGCUUGGUGCCACGGUUUUGGACCAUUUUUAAUGAAUAUGAUGCAGAUUUUCUUCCUCCCUUGACUUACUCUUGGUUGUCUUAACUCAUUGGUGGUGAAAAUUCGUUCUUUUCUACCUCCUUUUGCUUGUUCUUGGUGUUUGAAGCUUGAGCUUUUAAGCUGGUCUUUGCCUUUCCAUGGAGGUUUUUGGGUUUGAGUGAAGUUAUAUUUUCGUUUUCCUACUCAUUUUCUGCUGUUAUUCACGGUUUCCUUGGCAUUUUGGUUGGUUGCUUGAUGAAAAUGGAGUUCUAUGUGAGUUUUGGGUUGAAGAGAGCUUAAGGUGUUGUGUGGGUGUUGUGGGUUUGGCUCUUUCCUUCUAUAUUUCGGUUUGGAUGUUUGAAAACAAUUGGGACCAGAGUUUGAUGGUGUUUUGGUGAGUGCUGGAGUUGAAGGUUGAAUUGUUAUUUUCGUUUUUGCACAAGAGCUUGAAGAAAUGGAAGAUUGGGUUGAGUUGAAGUAGUAGUGGUGUGAGUUUAUGUUCUUGAAUGAAUUUGAACUUUGAAAUGGGGUCUUUUAGGUGAGUGUUUUCGGUGUGAGGAAGAAGAAAGAGCUAAAGGUGUGUUGGUUGAGAAGAAAAACCGAAAUUGGAGAUGGAAAGAAGGAGAGAUGGUGCCAUUAAUUUUUUACCAUUUUUGGGCAAACCAAAAAAGAUGCUUCUUGUCAUUCUAGGAAGGUUUCCACUUUGAGCAUGGCUCUUGCAUUGUCGCUGCAGAAACUUAAUGGUGUUUGGAGGUUUUUGGAGUUUGUUUACAUUUGAUUUAGCUUACUUGGCACAUUGAUAGAAGCACCCAUGGUUACAUUCAUUUACCAUUUGGUUUGGAAGCACUUUUUGGUAGCCACUUCUUUCUUGCUCACGUAAAUUUGUGCCUUGGUGUAUUGAAAUCAGACUUUUUGCUGCAUGGAAGGGUAUAAUUCACGGUUUUAAUGCGUGUAGAAAGCACAUGUUCAUUGUCUUGAAGAAUGGUGCACAUGGAGACAAAAAGACAACAAUUUUGGUGCCUCAUUGAAAAUUGAAAAUUGACUUGGACUUGGUGAAGUGUGGUGCACGGCCAUGAGGUUCUUUUUGGCUCAUGGGACUUUUAAAAUUAAUUUUUAAUUGUAAUUUAGUCAAAUUAAUUGCUAGGAUUAAAUUAGGCUUGUUGGUUUCUUUGGUUUUUAAUUAAUUUAGUUAAUAGGUUGAGUUUAAUGUGUUAGAAUUAGUGUGGAGUUUAAUUAAUUAUUUUUAAUUGUGUUUGUUAAAUUGUUUCCAAGAGUAUUUGAUGUUUGAAUGCUG